GCAUACCAACGUUUUGAGUGCAGUUCUGCUUAGAACAUUGUGCAAAGCAUAUCGCACCUGUUGCGUUUGCUCGUUCAACGUUUGCCCUGCAAAAUCUCCCUCCUUCUUUUAUCGUCAUCUUCGUUAAUGCGCACGCGCAUAGUUUUAUAACGCCGUUGCUUAUCAUGGCGCAUUCAGAAUCAGAGAGAGAAAAAUCAUUGUCGAAAGAGGAAUUGCAUUUAAUGAAUCGAAAUAUCAAGGAUAAGAGAGGGGACAGAAGGUUUCGAGAGCACAAGAGAGUUUAAGUCGAAGAAAUCGACUUUGACGUCAUGCUUUUCUCGCGCGACGAACGGAUGGGAAAACGCUUCCUUUUAGCCACAGACAAUGUAGCUUUGAAACGACCUUUGACAUUACACGGCUAUACUAUCGAUCUUUUAUUUAAGUUAAAUAGUUCAUCAAAUUUUAAACGAUGUAAAUAUAUCAUUCUCCAAGACACAUGUACAAACCAUUUGAUUUUAUACAAUAUGUAUGUUCAUAACCUAAAAAAUGAACAUAAAAAUAACCUAAAACUUUUACUUUUGAUUUAAUCCUUUCAUAUAUUUUCUAAUGAAAUACAAAUGAAAAAAUAAAAAUAUAAUGAUAUUUUAACAUACACAACAACAUUUCCAAUUCUUGUCUUAAUUUGGAGGUUAUGUUCAUCGAUCGAGAAUUCGAAAAUUGAUCAUUCUUAAAAAAUCAAAGUGAACACAAUUCAUGCGUUUCUUUCACAUCAAGGAAAGUCCCAGUGAGUCUGAUGGUCGUGCAUGAGGCGGUGAUCGAUACCAUCGCACGACUCUUAAGCGGAUCGUGCACGUCGUAUUGACCGGCAAUUUUCGCGCGGAGGAAGGUCAUCACGAGACAUACAAGAACACAGAGUGAGCAUACAAGGAAUACGAUAUAACCGGUAUGUAGUGUGUGCGCCAGGGAAUA